AUUGAUUGUUGCUUUUGCUCGAUAUGAGAAAGUCCGAUUCUCUCGUCGUGCUCAUAUGGCAAAGACGGUUGCUUCAUUUGCAAGGAUGACAGUGCAAGAUACAAGAAAAAUCCUUCCACAAGAGUUUUAUCCACCUUGGGUAGUCUUUUCUCAACGCCAGAAGUUGAUGUGGCUCAAUGUGCAGCCCAAAAAGAUUUGGCCAUAUGUUGACGAGGCAUAGGCAGCAAUAGAGAAAAUUAGAGCUAGUGUUGAGUCAACUCUCGAACAAUACACACCGGCUGUCAUAUCAUCUACGAAGUUUGGAAAGUUGACUCUUGGUACCAUUGCUCCACAAUUU